GAAUUGCUGUGAUGACUUACCAAGGACGGUAUCUGAGCGAGGCAUCUAUCCUCGCAUGAUUAUACCUGAUCUGAGACAAAAUGUCUGAGCAAAUU
rfam:Setaria italica strain Yugu1 chromosome I, whole genome shotgun sequence.